AGGAGGCGCGGGGCGGGGCGCGGCGCAGGGGUGGGGCCGCAGCGCGCAUGCGUCCUAGCUGCGGGUCCCUGCGGCUCGGGAUGGAGGCUGGACAUCUGUUCUGCUGUUGUGUCUUGCCAUUCUCCUGAAGAACAGAGGCACACCGUAAUACCCAACACUUCCCCUUGCAUUCUAUGAGAUUACAGCAAGAUGGAGAUACCAAAUCCCCCUACCUCCAAAUGUAUCACUUACUGGAAAAGAAAAGUGAAAUCUGAAUAUAUGCGACUUCGACAACUUAAACGGCUUCAGGCAAAUAUGGGUGCAAAGGCUUUGUAUGUGGCAAAUUUUGCAAAGGUUCAAGAAAAAACCCAGAUCCUCAAUGAAGAAUGGAAGAAGCUUCGUGUCCAACCUGUUCAGUCGAUGAAGCCUGUGAGUGGACACCCUUUUCUCAAAAAGUGUACCAUAGAGAGCAUUUUCCCGGGAUUUGCAAGCCAACAUAUGUUAAUGAGGUCACUGAACACAGUUGCAUUGGUUCCCAUCAUGUAUUCCUGGUCCCCUCUCCAGCAGAACUUUAUGGUAGAAGAUGAGACGGUUUUGUGCAAUAUUCCCUACAUGGGAGAUGAAGUGAAAGAAGAAGAUGAGACUUUUAUUGAGGAGCUGAUCAAUAACUAUGAUGGGAAAGUCCAUGGUGAAGAAGGUAGCGAGAUGAUCCCUGGAUCCGUCCUGAUUAGUGAUGCUGUUUUUCUGGAGUUGGUCGAUGCCCUGAAUCAAUACUCAGAUGAGGAGGAGGAUGGGCACAAUGACACCUCAGAUGGAAAGCAGGAUGACAGCAAAGAAGAUCUGCCAGUAACAAGAAAGAGAAAGCGACAUGCUAUUGAAGGCAACAAAAAGAGUUCCAAGAAACAGUUCCCAAAUGACAUGAUCUUCAGUGCAAUUGCCUCAAUGUUCCCUGAGAAUGGUGUCCCAGAUGACAUGAAGGAGAGGUAUCGAGAGCUAACAGAGAUGUCAGACCCCAAUGCACUUCCCCCUCAGUGCACACCCAACAUCGAUGGCCCCAAUGCCAAGUCUGUGCAGCGGGAGCAAUCUCUGCACUCCUUCCACACACUUUUUUGCCGGCGCUGCUUUAAAUACGACUGCUUCCUUCACCCUUUUCAUGCCACCCCUAAUGUAUAUAAACGCAAGAAUAAAGAAAUCAAGAUUGAACCAGAACCAUGUGGCACAGACUGCUUCCUUUUGCUGGAAGGAGCAAAGGAAUAUGCCAUGCUCCACAACCCCCGCUCCAAGUGCUCUGGUCGUCGCCGGAGAAGGCACCACAUGGUCAGUGCUUCCUGCUCCAACGCCUCAGCCUCUGCUGUGGCUGAGACUAAAGAAGGAGACAGUGACAGGGACACAGGCAAUGACUGGGCCUCCAGUUCUUCUGAGGCUAACUCUCGCUGUCAGACUCCCACAAAACAGAAGGCUAGUCCAGCCCCACCUCAGCUCUGUGUAGUGGAAGCACCCUCGGAGCCUGUGGAAUGGACUGGGGCUGAAGAAUCUCUUUUUCGAGUCUUCCAUGGCACCUAUUUCAACAACUUCUGUUCAAUAGCCAGGCUUCUAGGGACUAAGACGUGCAAGCAGGUCUUUCAGUUUGCAGUCAAAGAAUCACUUAUCCUGAAGCUGCCAACAGAUGAGCUCAUGAACCCCUCACAGAAGAAGAAAAGAAAGCACAGAUUGUGGGCUGCACACUGCAGGAAGAUUCAGCUGAAGAAAGAUAACUCUUCCACACAAGUGUACAACUACCAACCCUGUGACCACCCAGACCGCCCCUGUGACAGCACCUGCCCCUGCAUCAUGACUCAGAAUUUCUGUGAGAAGUUCUGCCAGUGCAACCCAGACUCUGGAGUUUUAAUAUCAGAUAGAAGACAGGGCCUGGAUGUCAGCAGAGACAUCCAGGUCAGAAUCGUUUCCCUGGCUGUCGCUGUAAGACUCAGUGCAAUACCAAGCAAUGUCCUUGCUAUCUGGCAGUGCGAGAAUGUGACCCUGACCUGUGUCUCACCUGUGGGGCCUCAGAGCACUGGGACUGCAAGGUGGUUUCCUGUAAAAACUGCAGCAUCCAGCGUGGCCUCAAGAAGCACCUGCUGCUGGCCCCCUCGGAUGUGGCUGGAUGGGGCACCUUCAUAAAGGAGUCUGUGCAGAAGAAUGAAUUCAUUUCUGAAUACUGUGGUGAGCUCAUUUCUCAGGACGAGGCUGAUCGUCGCGGAAAGGUCUAUGACAAAUACAUGUCCAGCUUCCUCUUCAACCUCAAUAAUGAUUUUGUAGUGGAUGCUACUCGGAAAGGAAACAAAAUUCGAUUUGCAAAUCAUUCAGUGAAUCCCAACUGUUAUGCCAAAGUGGUCAUGGUGAAUGGAGACCAUCGGAUUGGGAUCUUUGCCAAGAGGGCAAUUCAAGCUGGCGAAGAGCUCUUCUUUGAUUACAGGUACAGCCAAGCUGAUGCUCUCAAGUACGUGGGGAUCGAGAGGGAGACCGACGUCCUUUAGCCCUCCCAGGCCCCAUGGCAGCAUUUAUGGUAGCGGCACUGUCUUGGCUUUCAUGCUCACACCACUGCUGCUCGAGUCUCCUGCACUGUGUCUCCCACACUGAGAAACCCCCCACCCACUCCCUCUGUAGUGAGGCCUCUGCCAUGUCAAGUGGGCACAAAACUGUCUCAAUGAGAGGGGAGACAGAGGCAGCUAGGGCUUGGUCUCCCAGGAGAGAGUUGCAGAAAUGGGAGACUUUCUCUGGCCUCAGAGGAAGUGAGCACAGGCUGGAGUAGAUGACUUAUAUGUGAUUUCGUGUCGGCUCCCCAGGUUGUGGGCCUCAGGAAUCAACUUAGGCAGUUCCCCACAAGCACUAGCCUGUAAUUGUAGCUUUCCCCAUCAGGCAUCCCUAUGUCAUUGGGGUGCAGGCAAACCUCUGUGAUCCUAAGACCUGGAGAGGACAGGCUAAGUGAAGCGUGGUCCCUGGACCCUACAAGUGGUCUGGGUUAGAGGCAGGCCUGGCAGGCAGCACAGACUGAACUCAGAGGUAGACGGGUCACCUUACUACCUCCUCCCUUGUGGCAGGGCUCAAACUGAAAGAGUGUGGGUUCUAAAUACAGGCAUUUGAGGCUUGGGGAAGGAAAGCUAUGCCAUCCUUCCUUGGCCAGAGAGGGAGAACCAGCCAGAUGAUAGUAGUUUAACUGCUAUGCUUGGGCCCAGGAGGCUUUGAGAAAGCCUUCUCUGUGUACUCUGGAGAUAGACGGAGAAGUGUUUUCAGAUUCCUGGGAGCAGACGCCAGUGCCCAGCUCUCCAAAGUUCUGGCUUAGCAGCUGCAGGCAGGCAUUAUGCUGCUAUUGAAGAAGCAUUAGGGGUGUGCCUGGCAGGUGUGAGCACCCUGGCUCGCUGGAUUUGUAGGUGUUUUCAGGCCUUCCUUUCCCCAUAGAGGCAAGGCCCAAUGGCCAGUGUUGCUUAUCUCUUCAGGGUAGGUAGGCAUAGGCCUGGACUAGAGAGGGGAAAGAUUGGUGUAAUCUGCUUUCCUGUCUGUAGUGCCUGCUGUUUGGAAAGGGUGAGUUGGAAUAUGUGUUCCAAGUUGGGUGAGGGGCUAAAUUGCACGUGUUUAGGCUGGCAUCCCGUGUGCAGGUGGAGGGUAUGUGAAGUGGGAGAAGAAGCAGGUAGACCACCUGUUCCAGGCUGUGGUGCCACCCUCUCUGGGAUUCAUGCAGAGCAAAGCACUUUAACCAUUUAUUUUAGAAGGUCUAUAGAUUGGGGUAGAGUUUGGGCUAAGGUCUCUAGGGUCCCUGCCCAAAUCCCACUCCUGAGGGAGGGGGAAGAAGAGAGAGCGGGAGAUUCUCUUCCAGUCCUGUCUCAUCUCCUGGGAGAGGCAGAGGAGCGAGCUUCACACAGAAUUUCAUGUGAAUGGGGCCAGCAAGAGCUGCCCUGUGUCCACGGCAGGUGUGCCAGGCUGGCUGGGAACAAGGAAUAGUGUGCUGGGUAGAAAGGGCGUGGGCGGGUGUAGAUUGGCCUGGGAGUGUUAUAGUAGGGAGCAGGCUUCUUCCUUCUUUCUGAGACUCGCAGCCCCCACUUCUUCCCACUCCACUGGUUGUCCCAUGAAGGAAGAAGUGGGGUUCCCCCGACCCAGCUGCCUCUUAGGGUUUGGUGUGAGACAUGCACACACACUCACACGCUCUCACUCACCACACUGGAGGGCACACAUGCAUCCCGCACUCAGCAACUCCUGACAGAAAGCUCUUCCCACCCAAAUAGGCCAGGCCCCAGCAUGAUCCUGAAAUCUGCAUCUGCCGUGGUUUGUAUUCAUUGUGCAUAUCAGGGAUACCCUCAAGCUGGACUGUGGGCUCCAAAUUACUCAUAGAGGAGAAAACCGGAGAAAGAUGAAGAGGAGGAGUUAGCUCUGUUUGAAAUGCCAGGGGCUGGCCAUGAGGAAUAGGUGAAAAAAAACUUUUCACCAGCCUUUGAGAGACUAGACUGACCCUACCCUUCCCUCAGUGAGCAGAAUCACUGUGGUCAGUCUCCUCCUGUCCCAGCUUCAGUUCAUGAAUACUCCUGUUCCUCCAGUUUCCCAUCCUUUGUCCCUGCUGUCCCCUACUUUUAAAGAUGGGUCUCAACCCCUCCCCACCACGUCAUGAUGGAUGGGGCAAGGUGGUGGGGCCUGGGGGAGCCUGGUAUACAUGCGGCUUCAUUGCCAAUAAAUUUCACGCACUUUAAAAGUCCUGUGGCUUGUGACCUCUUAUCUGAAUAAAGUGUUAGAAUCCA